GUUGGCUGCUUUGUGAAGGAAAAAAGAGUGCUCUGAAGAGCUACCCCUGAGAAACACCAUGAAGGUCUUCUCCCUGAUCUCUCGGGUGUAUUCACGAGGCCUGUCUUUGGCAGUGAACACUUUAAGCUAUUACAAUAUUCAUUCACCAGGGCAAACAGCUCUGGAGCAGGUGUGUUUCUCUGCAGAGAAGGGCAUAGCGGCACACAGAUGGGGGUUUCCUGAGCCAGGGAAACCCCAGGGGAAUGCUGAGAUUUGCCAGGAGGCAGCAGCUUGCAAGGAUGCACCAGAGGGAGAGAAUUCCCCUGAAGCCUGAGAUGCCCUUGGAGAACUGCUUUGCUGCUCUGCAUAUUGAGGAGAAAGACCCAUUCCAUCAGAGAAAAAUUGGAGCUGAGUUAGGCAGCGCAACCUGCUCGCCCUAUAACAACCAGUGCGACUAAGAAAAGGCAAUGGGUGAGAGGCACAGAAGCAUCCAUUUACUCACUUGAUGAUCUCCAGGGAGGUGUGCUUCCUAUCAGGGUCUUGCUCAAGGGAUGUCACUGAGACACUACCAAGGGCUAGAAAUAUAUUAAAUAAUCAUCCAAGAAACAACAGGCACAUCAGGGAGCAUUUAAUUUCUUCUUCUCGUUUGUAAUAAGUCAAGCAAUAAGUACAUAUAGACAAAGUCCAAGAAAAGAACAGGAAAGUCAAACCUCAGUCAAUUUUUAAAAAUUGAAAAAUACUGCUUGACCUUCCCUAAUGCUGCUAACUUUCUUUAAGCAAGGAUGACCAACACCAUGGGCAGAGGUAAUAAGCACAUCUAUCUUCUUUUGGUUUAAUGGAAGCUGAAAGUGUCCCCAGCAAUUGGAAGGAAAAUAUCUCAGAAACACAAAAGGAAAAAUAAAAAAAAGAAUAAAAAAAACCAAAACCAAAACCAAAGUAGAGUUUAACAGAGAACAUACUGAAAAUCACAAUAACAACCUAACCCAGCUUACAAGAUGUCAUUCAUUCAUACAACAUCUUAGGCUUAUCAAUGUGAAUAUAAUUACACCAAACUUUUUUUAAUGCUAACAGCAACCUUUACAAAAAAAAUUAUAUCUAAAAUUAAGUGCUGCAUAUCUAGAAGAGUAAGUUGUCUCCUUCCUGCUUGAAAAAUAUAGAAUAGAUUUCAGAUUUGAUUGCAUAUAUAUUAUAAAAAAAUCUUGUUCCUGUUUAUAAGUAUUCACUGGAGAGUCCCAUAAUUGCUGCCAGACUUUUCCAAACCCAAGAAAGAGUAGAUUUGGUUCAGCAUAGCCUGAAGGUUGAAAACCACUGCUCUAGGCAAAAGACGUGGUGGUUGUUCAUCUCUUAGCUUAGCCUAUGUGUGCGUGUGCAUGCAGCAGUCUGCACCAGUUUUAGCUGCAAGAAAAGAAAAACAUUAAAUUUCAAGAUAUUUAUUUUUAGUCCAAUACUUGAGGGUUAGUUUUGAGGUUUAAUAUUAUUCAAAAUCAUCCUUGUUUUUGCAAGAGGGAAAAAUUGGGCUAUAUAUGUAUACAUUUACCCUCAUCUGAAUUUCAGUUUCCAGCAGAUUUAUAUUUAUUAAUAUAAAGAAAUAAAUUGGUUUUUUAAACAUCAUAGUAAAAUUUCCAAUGUUAUUUAUUUCUAGUGACCUGGUUUUAACUUUGUAAGUUAGCUUGUCAAUAUAAAAUUAAGACAUGCAGAAAUUUUAGAGUUAUCUCCUUGGGUGAAAUCUCAGUAAAGGCCUCGAUUUAUAGAUAAUAAGAUAUAGUAGUCAGCAAUAUGAUGAAGAAAAACUGUAUCUGUUACAUUUCUUCCUGGAAAAAGGUGUCCUUCCUGCAAAAGCUUAGGAAAGUUUUCAGUAAAAGUUUUGAAUUUAUGCAAAUAUUCACAAGCCAGUGAAACUAUUUGUGCACCAAGUUAUGUUUUCAAAUCUCUGUCAAAAGGUGAAGAAAACAUGUAAACAAAACCAGAAUUACAUUGGGAGAGAAAAAAGUUGCUUGUAAGACUGACACAUUUUUCCCCUGAAUAAACUAAGGAGUUAAAGAAAUCUGUAAAAGGAAGUUGCACAGUGGAGGGAAAGGUUGGGGUUCCUUUGCUUUGUUUUCUUUUUCAGUUUGAUUUUUUUUCCUAUAUCUCAGUUGAAAUCAAAGGAAAUUUUAAGGUUAGUUUUAAUCACCAGGUUAACUUGAGUGGAGAAGGUGAAUCUGUCCCAUUUUUGAUGGAAAUAGAGGAUCCUGGCUAACCUUAGUAAUAAUGAAAUCUCUUUUCGCAGUAAAGGAAAAAAAGUUUGAGCAUAAUUUUAUAAAUAGCCAGUGUUAAAAAUUAUUGAUAAUAAUACUGAUAACAAUGAUUAUAUAUGCAUGUAUCAAACAUAUUUGUAAGAGAUCAUAAUCUAAAAAAAUAGUAAAAAUACUGGUUUUAAUUUGGAUAUAUUAUUGAGGUUUGUGUGCUUGUCCUUUCUAUAAGGAAUACGUUCAAGAGGGAAAAAUAUGUUAUUUCACUUGCAAGGUCUGGAUUCUUAAAGUCAAAAGAGAUGAUUCUGUUUCAAUUCUUAAUAAACAUUAGCAGUUUUUGUAUUUUUUUUCUUAAUUAGGAUUCUUAUCUGGUAAUAUGUACAAUAACAUAUUAUUAUUAUAUAAUAAUUACAUGUGUUAAACUGCCCUUG